GAUGAACGCUGGCGGCGUGCCUAAUACAUGCAAGUAGAACGCUGAAGGAGGAGCUUGCUCUUCUGGAUGAGUUGCGAACGGGUGAGUAACGCGUAGGUAACCUGCCUGGUAGCGGGGGAUAACUAUUGGAAACGAUAGCUAAUACCGCAUGACAACAGUUAUUGCAUGAUAACUGUUUAAAAGGGGCAACUGCUCCACUACCAGAUGGACCUGCGUUGUAUUAGCUAGUUGGUGAGGUAACGGCUCACCAAGGCGACGAUACAUAGCCGACCUGAGAGGGUGAUCGGCCAAACUGGGACUGAGACACGGCCCAGACUCCUACGGGAGGCAGCAGUAGGGAAUCUUCGGCAAUGGACGGAAGUCUGAACGAGCAACGCCGCGUGAGUGAAGAAGGUUUUCGGAUCGUAAAGCUCUGUUGUAAGAGAAGAACGAGUGUGAGAGUGGAAAGUUCACACUGUGACGGUAGCUGACCAGAAAGGGACGGCUAACUACGUG
rnacentral:rRNA from 1 species